UUACGGCCACAUCACGUUGAAACACCGGUUCCCUUACGAUCACCGAAAUUAAGCAACGUCGAGCCUCGUUAGUACCUAGAUGGGUGACCGUUUGGAAAUAUCAAGUGC